AUCGAACGCUGGCGGCAGGCCUAACACAUGCAAGUCGAGCGGAUGAAGGGUGCUUGUGCCUGGAUUCAGCGGCGGACGGGGGAGUAAUGCCUAGGAAUCUGCCUGGCAGUGGGGGAUAACGUCCGGAAACGGGCGCUAAUACCGCAUACGUCCUGAGGGAGAAAGUGGGGGAUCUUCGGACCGCACGCUAUCAGAUGAGCCUAGGUCGGAUUAGCUAGUUGGUGGGGUAAAGGCCUACCAAGGCGACGAUCCGUAACUGGCCUGAUAGGAUGAUCAGUCACCUUGGAACUGAGACACGGUCCAGGCUCCUACGGGAGGCAGCAGUGGGGAAUGUUGGGCAAUAGGCGGAAGCCUGGUCCAGCCAUGCCGCGUGUGUGACGGCGGUCUUCGGAUUGUAAAGCACUUUAAGUGGGGAGGAAGGGCAGUAAGUUGAUACCUUGCUGUAUUGACGUUACCGGCAGAAUAAGCACCGGCUAACUUCGUG
rnacentral:rRNA from 1 species